GCUCGUAGUUGGAUUUUGGGCGCAGGCGGCCGGUCCGUCGCAAGGCGUGUACUGGCCGUCCUGGCCUCACCUCCGGUUCUCCGCCGGUGCCCUUGACUGAGUGUCGGCGGCGGCCGGAACGUUUACUUUGAAAAAAUUAGAGUGUUCAAAGCAGGCGAUUCGCCUGAAUAAUGGUGCAUGGAAUAAUGGAAUAGGACCUCGGUUCUAUUUUGUUGGUUUUCGGAGCGCGAGGUAAUGAUUAAGAGGGACAGACGGGGGCAUUCGUACUGUGCCGUUAGAGGUGAAAUUCUUGGAUCGGCGCAAGACGAACGACUGCGAAAGCAUUUGCCAAGAAUGUUUUCUUUAAUCAAGAGCGAAAGUCAGAGGUUCGAAGACGAUCAGAUACCGUCCUAGUUCUGACUAUAAACGAUGCCAACUAGCGAUCGGGGGGCGUUAGUUUUACGACCUCUCCGGCAGCUUGCGGGAAACCAAAGUCUUUGGGUUCCGGGGGAAGUAUGGUUGCAAAGCUGAAACUUAAAGGAAUUGACGGAAGGGCACCACCAGGAGUGGAGCCUGCGGCUUAAUUUGACUCAACACGGGAAAUCUCACCCGGCCCGGACACAGUGAGGAUUGACAGAUUGAGAGCUCUUUCUUGAUUCUGUGGGUGGUGGUGCAUGGCCGUUCUUAGUUGGUGGAGCGAUUUGUCUGGUUAAUUCCGAUAACGAACGAGACUCUGGCUUGCUAACUAGUUACGCGACCCAAUCGGUCGGCGUCUAACUUCUUAGAGGGACUAGUGGCGUUUAGCCACACGAGAUUGAGCAAUAACAGGUCUGUGAUGCCCUUAGAUGUUCGGGGCCGCACGCGCGCUACACUGACCGGAUCAGCAUGUGCUCGCCUUGGCCGACAGGUCUGGGUAACCCGCUGAACCCCGGUCGUGCUAGGGAUAGGGAAUUGCAAUUAUUCCCUG
rnacentral:rRNA from 1 species